UUUCCGUAGGUGAACCUGCGGAAGGAUCAUUACUGAGUGAGGGCCCCUCGGGGUCCAACCUCCCACCCGUGUUUAACGAACCUUAUUGCUUCGGCGGGCCCGCCUCACGGCCGCCGGGGGGCAUCUGCCCCCGGGCCCGCGCCCGCCGAAGCCACCUGUGAACGCUGUCUGAAGUAUGCAGUCUGAGACAAUUAUUAAAUUAAUUAAAACUUUCAACAACGGAUCUCUUGGUUCCG
rnacentral:misc_RNA from 1 species